rnacentral:rRNA from 1 species
UACGGGGGGGGCAAGCGUUGUUCGGAAUUACUGGGCGUAAAGGGCGCGCAGGCGGUUUCGUCAGUCAUGGGUGAAAGCCCCGGGCUCAACCCGGGAAUGGCCUGUGAAACCACGGAACUGGAGUGCUGGAGAGGGAAGCGGAAUUCCCAGUGUAGCGGUGAAAUGCGUAGAUAUUGGGAGGAACAUCGGUGGCGAAGGCGGCUUCCUGGACAGACACUGACGCUGAGGCGCGAAAGCCAGGGGAGCGAACGGG